CAAAUGCUCAAAUCCCCUAGGGCACCCUGCAGCCUGCUGGGUCAUAUCCAGAUUUCAAGGCCCCCAUGAUCCCACCCUGUGGCUAUUCAACCCUCAUCCAAGAAGCAUUUCUAAGCACUUCUCUCUGCCCAGUCCUUGAGGAUCUCUCAGAGGAAGAACUGGAGUCAGAAGAACAGAUGUCACAACCCCAAACCAGCCUUAAGUGCUGUGUGACCCUGGGCAAGUCACUGUCCCUCUCUGGAUCUUAACUGAAAAGAGAUGCCUGGAUUCUGGGCCUAUUAUGAUCUCAUUUUUCAUUCUGUCACUUUCACAUGCCAUCUUCUGGCCCUAUAGAUGCAGAGCCCCGGCCAUCUGGAGCAGCCUGGAGCAGGGCCAGGCCUGCCUUGCUGGAUAUGAACAGGGCCCCAGGGAUCGAGGUGAGGAGGCAGGGGCUGGGGAGGGGGUCCGUCACCCACUGGGCAGGCAGGAUGCCGGGCGGGCAGAAUGAGCCGAGUCUAAAUAAAUCACUAACACACGGGCGGAGAAUUCCUCAAACAGGCGCCCUGGAUUAUGGACAACAGAAGGGGGAGGGGCGGGGAGCUGUUCAGGGGGACCAUCGCUGCAGCCUCCUCCCCCUCGUGCAUCCUGGCCCUUCCCCCUCCUGCAUCGGGGGCUGUGACAGUCAAGGACUGGAUGCCUCUGGGGGGGAGGGGGGUGGCCUUGGUUGGGGGCCUCCUCCGCCCAGGCCCAGCCCCAUGAUCCAUGCCGUGAGAAACUCGAAAAGCCCGGAGUUGGUCCGAGGGGAGAGAGGUGUUGAAAGCCGCAUCCUGCUCCAAGGGCUGAGCCGAGGCCAGAGAUAAUAUCGUGUGUUGGAGAGCGGCCCUCCUUCGCCACCGCCCCACGCUCUGCACCCCGCCUGGGCCUGAGCUCGAGCCAUGGGGCAGGGCCCUGUUGCUUCCAGCCUGGGAGGUGGCCUGGCCCCUGUCCCACUGGACUCACUCCAAGCCUGAGAGCCCCCAGGCCCGCCCAGGGCCAGGGCAGAGACCAGCCUGGGGAGAGGAGAGGAAUAGUCUGAGGCUGAGGUCUGGAACUGGCCAGAGCAUUGUAGGAUUCCCUCCUGCCUCUCUCUGGACCCCAGAUGCCACAUUAGGAAAAUGGAGCUGGGGACCCCAGGUCAUUUCUCAGGGUACCCAUGUGCUUGGAGGGCCUGUAUGGUGGCAGGGGCCACGAAGCUGGUGCUGGGUGGUACCGUCCAGGCUCCUGCUGCAGCCCCUGGAGAAGGGGUUGCUGGCUGUUGGAUGGAUAGAUGGGGGUAUGAGUGAGUGAACAAGAAACAGUAAGGAUCCAUGAAUCCUACAAUCUGAGCACGAGUGGAGAGAGCGCCCAGAGCAAGGUGUCCCUCUUCCCUGCUUGGCAGUGACCCCUCAUGGGCCCCGCACUUCCCAGUUUACAGAGGGCCUCUGCAUUCCUCCCUCAGCCCUGCGAGCAAGGACAGGGAGGGCCCGAUGCCCCCUGGGCCAGACGAGCAAGCUACGAUGAGUCCAGAGCUCGGCACCCGGCAGUCCCCCCAUGGCUCCCACAUCCUCUGUCUCUGAGCUCCCAGGAGCCUGGAACUAUGAACAGGGCCAGGAAUGUCACUGUGCUC
rnacentral:lncRNA from 1 species